UCCCAGUGUCAGCUGUGGCAGGACCCCCUUUCUGUGGAGGCCGUGAGGAUGACUACAGCCUGCCAUUCACGCAGACGUAUUUUCUCACCGUUCUGGAGGCAGCAAAGCCACGAUCAAGGUGUCACUGGUUCCUCGGAGGCUGUCAGGGGUGGGGAGUCUGCCCCAGGCCUCCCUCCUGGGCCAUCUCCAUCUCCCUGCACCAGCCUCUACGUCCAAAUCUCCCCUUUCCAUAAGCUCGGGUGGGGUGGGGCCAGGCCCUUCUGUGUGUCUGGCUCUGGGAGAGGGGUGGCUCCUGCCUGCGGCCGAUGAGGACAUCCCAGGGAGGCCCCGAGGGCCCCUCUGCAUCCCAGCCCUUCCCGCCUUUGUCCUUCAGACCACACGGGACACAGAGGGUCAGGAAAUGGAGGUGGCAGUGUGUCUCCUUCACGCAGUGGGCUCCUUGGCUGAGCUGUGCAGUAGCCUGUUCAUUAAGCCUGGCCGCAGCAUCCUAGUAGCUUAAUUAUGGGCUUCAUUACAAGGGAAGAUCAAUAGCCAGAAUGACAAAAGCUCAAAGAUAAUGGAAACAAAUAAAGUGCUUUGUCUUAGGUGACACUAAAGCUGUCUGGUCUGACAAAUCCUCCUCCAGUCCGGGCUUCCAGCUCCUCCGAGGGUCCAUUUGGGUUGAAUGGAAAACAGCUGUACACCCAGCCCAGAGCAGGCUGUGGAUGGAGCUCCGGGCAGCACUCUACUCCCUACCCCACGUGCCUCUGAUGUGGGUGAAGAUCAUGGUGCUGGACCAGUUUCUGGGCGAGCUGGGGAGACGCCUCUGCAUUACCUGUGUCCACUGGGGACCCGGCCGCCCUUCUCCUCUGAAGACACCGUGGUUGACACACAUCUCAGUCCCCAGGGGACCUGGCCGCCCUUCUCCUCUGGGGACACUGUGGUUGACGGCCCUUCUCCUCUGGGGACACCGUGGUUGACGGCCCUUCUCCUUUGGGGACACUGUGGUUGAUGGCCCUUCUCCUCUGGGGACACUGUGGUUGACAUACAUCUCAGUCCCCCAGGGGGUUUCCAGUCUAGACGGAAAGACAGAUGUGAAUCACGUCAUCACACCAUGGCAUUUCUGCAAACUCAGCUGAGUGUGAAAGAAGGAACACGGUGGCCAAGAGAAAGCCAGGCCAUCCUGACCCAUCCUGGGGUGGGGGCUGAGGUUGGGAAGAUGAGGGCAGUGACCCCGAUGGAGGGGACAGCAGACCCCAAGGUGGGAGAGGGACUGGCCCGUCCGAGAAACUCAGAGAGGACCAGAGGUUAGAACGUGGUGAGACGGUGGGGAGAAGGAGGCUGUGAGCUGCAGAUGUGGCAGGGGCUUCAUGGAUACAGGCGAGGGCGGGCCUUUAUUCCCAAAGCUGCAGAGGCUGCUAGGACUGUUGGGGGUCCCUCGAGGACAGAGGGGGCUUAGGGUGAGGGCAGCUGAGUGUGAGGCUGCACAGGGCCCACAUCCACCCAUGAGCAGUGGGUGCCCUGUUGAGACCUCCUGCGUUGCCCGCACGGGCGAGCUCAGAGCUGUGGUUGGUGUGGAUACUGGGCGCCUCUUCUCCAAAUGCAGGAGAAAAGCAGAAGGAUGCAAACAGAGAUGUGGAGAAAAAAUAAACACGAGAACAAACCCGGGACAAGGGUGGGAUUGCACCAAGAUUCCAUUGCUCCCUACUUGCCCAGAGUUGCAGAAACGCAACACAGCUUGCAGCUUGUGGCAGCUGCAAGGUCCUGUGUGACCAGAACACGGGGCUGUUAUUCCGUGAAAGCAAAGCCCUGUGCCUGGCUGUGUGCCCGGGCUGGAGGGCAGUGGCUGUUCACCAGCGCCAUCAUCUUUUUAGGAGAAUGAGCCAAGCUCUUCGGCCUGAGUCUGCCGUGGUCCUUCGCUUCCACACUGCUGCAGCCAGCCCCUUCCCGGGGUUUUCAUAGAGGCCGCCCUUCCCCCAGUGUCUUUCUGUCAUCAGCCUUAAUUAGGUGAUUCGGAGGUCAGCACAGGGCCCUCUGCCAUGGUGACCUAUGUGCCCCAUCACAGGGAGCUGCAGGCUCACAAGAGGGGUCUCCAUGCUUGUCUAUGGCUGUGGCAGCUCUGCGAAUGCCCCACGAGGGUGUUCUGGAUGAGGGGGGGCUCUGGCCUCUGGCAAAGCAGCGCAGCAUCCAGGACACCAGCAACCGCAGCUGUGAAGGGGGCGUGGGGGUGACGGGUGGUGCCAAGUCUGGAGCACAGGAGACACAGACACGACCACCACUCACAUCACCUUCGCUCAGCCCACUGAGCUCUGCCUCAGCCUCCUUGUGACUUGGAGGGAAAGAACCACCUUCGUAUUUUUCUGCCUGUUUUGCAGAUGAGAAAACCUGAUACCUGUGGGCAGUUCCACGCUGGCAACAGGGGGAUCCCAGGCCUGCACUUUUGAAACAACAAGAAAAGCCGUCCCUGGGGGGUUGCGACCAUGGUGAGUUGACAGCUGGGUGAGCCUGGGCUGAGGGAGGGGGAUUGGGCAGAGCUCCCUGCAGAGCUGCAGGAACGGGGAUGGGAGCACCUGGCCUGCUGCACCCAACCCUGCAUCUCAGCUCAGAGCCCGGCCCAGAGCCCAGGGA
rnacentral:lncRNA from 1 species